rnacentral:rRNA from 1 species
UUUUAUUUGAGAGUUUGAUCCUGGCUCAGGAUGAACGCUGGCGGCGUGCCUAACACAUGCAAGUUGAGCGAUUUACUUCGGUAAAGAGCGGCGGACGGGUGAGUAACGCGUGGGUAACCUACCCUGUACACACGGAUAACAUACCGAAAGGUAUGCUAAUACGGGAUAAUAUAUUUGAGAGGCAUCUCUUAAAUAUCAAAGGUGAGCCAGUACAGGAUGGACCCGCGUCUGAUUAGCUAGUUGGUAAGGUAACG